UUUAUUGAGUCAGUUUAGUCCAGUUGUUUAUUGAGUCGGUUUGGUUCAGUUAGAGUCAAGUAGAGAUUUAUUUAAUAUUUAUUUAUUAUUAGAGUUCAAGUCCUGAUGGACUCUGGGUGGAACUCUAUAAAUAGGGAUGUAACUGCUUCUUUUUAGUAAUCUAUGAAAAAUACUAUUAUGUCUUUUGACAAACCCUAGGAGGCUGAUCCCCUCAAAGUGAUCAAGGA
rnacentral:lncRNA from 1 species